AUGCUCAAAACCAGAGUGCUCGGCCUUGCGGCAAUUGAGAGAGCUAGAAGAAGACAGGCCUCCCGGGUGCUAUGGAUUAGGGCCGGAGAUGCCAGCACAAAAUUCUUCCACGCAAAGUGCAACAACAUAAGGAGAAAAAACUAUAUACACUCUCUGCAAACUGAAGGAGGGGAGGUUUUAACCCAGCACCAGGAGAAGGCCCAAGAGAUUUUCAGACAUUUUUCAAAUCAGUUGGGCACAAGGAAAAACCGGCCUCUCACAAUCAACUGGGAUCAGCUUCAGUUACCUAUUGUGACAGAUGUGGUCUUAGAUAACCCGUUCUCAGAGGGGGAGGUUUGGCCAGCGAUUAUGAGCUCUCCGGCAGAAAAAGCCUGA
rnacentral:rRNA from 1 species